rnacentral:rRNA from 1 species
AUUCCGAGCCUUACAAGGUUUGGAGAUUGGAAUGAGCACAAUUUAAAAACCUUAGCGAUGAUCCACUGGAGGGCAAGCCUGGUGCCAGCAGCCGCGGUAAUUCCAGCUCCAGUAGCGUAUAUUAAAGUUGUUGCAGUUAAAAAGCUCGUAGUUGGAUUUCUGACGUGACUUGCCUGGCCCGCUCGGGUUUCCGUUGUGAGUGCCGGUUUGUGAGUCCGUCUUCCUUCUAGGGUGUCAUCGAUUCCCGUGUUUCGCGGUGUGGCCGUGUCGCCCUAGAUCUUUUACUUUGAAAAAAUUAGAGUGUUUAAAGCAGGCUUUCGCUAUUGAAUACAUUAGCAUGGAAUAAUAAUAUAGGACUUCGGCCUAUUUUGUUGGUUUCGAGGACGAAGUAAUGAUUGACAGGGAUAGUUGGGGGUGCUUGUAUUCAGCGUUCAGAGGUGAAAUUCUUGGAUCCGCUGAAGACAAACUUAUGCGAAAGCAUUCACCAAGGAUGUCUUCUUUAAUCAAGAACGAAAGUUGGGGGAUCGAAGACGAUCAGAUACCGUCGUAGUCUCAACCAUAAACUAUACCGACUAAGGAUGAGUGAUCGUUGCAUUUUCGACUUCAUUCGCACUUUGUGAGAAAUCAAAGUCUUUGGGUUCCGGGGGGAGUAUGGUCGCAAGGCUGAAACUUUAAGGAAUUGACGGAAGGGCACCACCAGGAGUGGAGCCUGCGGCUUAAUUUGACCCAACACGGGGAAACUUACCAGGUCCAGACUCAGGUAGGAUUGACAGAUUGAAGAUCUUUCUUGAUUGUGAGGGUGGUGGUGCAUGGCCGUUCUUAGUUGGUGGAGUGAUCUGUCUGGUUAAUUCCGUUAACGAACGAGACCUCGACCUACUAAAUAGUGCGAUGAACCCUCGGGUUCAUUGAUCACUUCUUAGAGGGACUAUUGGUGGUUAGCCAAUGGAGGUUCGAGGCAAUAACAGGUCUGUGAUGCCCUUAGAUGUUCUGGACUGCACGUGCGCUACAAUGCAGGGUUCAACGAGCAUACAACCUUGACUGACAAGUCUGGGUAAUCUUCUCAAAGCCCUGCGUGCUGGGGAUAGAUUAUUGUAAUUAUUAAUCUUCAACGAGGAAUUCCUAGUAAACGCGAGUCAUCAACUCGCAUUGAUUACGUCCCUGCCCUUUGUACACACCGCCCGUCGCUACUACCGAUUGAAUGACUUAGUGAGCAUCAGGGAUGGCGCCUUCGUGUUGGAUUUCUCCUUCGUGAAGUGUGCCAGAACUGCCGCAAACUUGAUCAUUUAGAGGAAGUAAAAGUCGUAACAAGG